ensembl:lncRNA
ACACACACACACACAUACGCAAACACACACACAAACAUACACACACACACACACAUACGCAAACACACACACACACACACACACACACACACACACACACACACAGUCACACACAUGCCAAUCAUGCCAGGCAUAUAUUGAGCCAGGAUCUCCACAGCAGCUAUCUGUUCAAUCCUAUUAGUCUCAUUGUGGUGUUAGACAGCAUGACGUCUGCUGCUGAUGCUCAACAAAGACAGGCUCAGUGACACACAGGGAGGAUGCAGAGAUGUAGAGAAGGCAGCAGUGAAGCCAAUGUGCUAGAUUCACACACACACACACACACACACACACACACACACACACACACACACACACACACACACACACACACACAACACGCGCACACACACACACACACACACACACACACACACAACACGCGCACACACACACAAAGACAUAAAAACCCACACACAAACAAAUAGUAAUACCCACACAAAAUGAAUGAGUCUGAAUAGUGAUGUUCACAAUCAAGGAUCACAGGGCUCCUGACACCCAUCUCCUUACACCUAUCUGUUCUUUGGCAGGUGUGCCAGGUGGUGAGUCCUCUUGUGUGUUGCAGCCAAUUUCCUCCCCCUCGGUGUGUUCUCAGAAUGACGAGUCCUCUUGUGUGUUGCAGCCAAUCCCUCCCCCCACCCCCCCGGUGUGUUCUCAGAAUGACGUUAGUGUGGAAGGCCUCCCCGGUCUCUUCUUUCGACCGCUCUAAAUGUGGACACAAAUCCACAGAUCAAUUUGCCGCCCUCUGUGUGUGUGUGACCCAAAUUCACGUAACACAACCCAAACGCCCCCUUCAAGGUGAGUCGAUUCUCCAUUUUGGCUCUGUCGCUGUUCACGCUGGGGCAUCGGUUUCAAGGUCAGUGCUGACUAUCCAUGCAGAAAAGUGGGUUUGAAGACCAUGGAGAGGGAGAGAGAGAGUAGGGUGGGUUGGGCAGGGUAGGGGGAGACUGUAUAUUGUGCAGACCAGGUUGGCUCCAUCCUGGUUCCAAUGUAUGACUGUGGGGAUAAACGUUUCAACGUUUGUGUGCACAGAGGGAACAGAUUACAAGCUGCCUAUUUCUGUACCACAAAGCUCUUUACUAGACUUAGGCUACCUGCACUACUGCAGGUUGUGUGCGUGAGAGGAAAAGUGUGUGUGUGUGUGAGUGUGUGUGAGUGUGUGUGUAUGAGUGGGUGUGUGUCUCCUUGCAGCACGGGCAUCUUUAGUGCUCUGAUUCCUUCAGCAAGCUGAGCAACAUCAGGUGUCGAUCGGCCAUUUUAUUCACCGCGCGGGAUUCUAUCAGGAGAGACUCUCCCACUCGCCCCAUCACAAACGGAGAAAAAGAACUACAUCCAGGAGGCCAAGAUGCUUGUGACCAUGCUAACAGCCAUGUAUAUGAUGGUGCAGGUGGUGGAACAGGUGGGUCUUAGGUGGGGGAGGCAGCCGGCCCCCCUGCCCUAUAUGCUGGCUCAGCCAAUCCCCUGGCAGAUACACUCAGUGUCUUCCAGCCGAAGAGGGAGUCGCGCGGAGGAGGUCAGUGGUACACACACACACACACACACACACACACACACACACACACACACACACACACACACACACACACACACACACACACAUACACAUACACGCACUCACAUACACACACACACACACACACACACACACAAACACACACACACACACACACACACAUGCACACACACAUGCACUCGCAUACCGAAACAUGCAUACACAAAUACGCACUUACACGGUCACACACAUAAACACAUACACACACAUUCACAUUCACAUUCACAUGUAGACAAACACACCCUCUCACACAUACACACAAUCCUUAAAUGUAUACCAUAUAUAUAGUAUAAUUUAACUUAGUUUACUGGAAGUGCAAAAACUCUCAGGAAGCCUACUCUCAUAUGCUGCUAUUCGUACAGAAUCUUUACUAUUUCCUAUGAUUGACAGGACUGUUUUGAGAAAAGAAAGUAAAGUAAAGAUACGGUUCUACAUAUGAUAGAAAGUGUGGAUUCUUCCACCGGGAUGAGUGCAGUUUCCUGCAUUCUAAGUCAUACUAUCCAUGUAUACUAUAUAGCCCAAUCAUAAUGAUAGAAUGACAGAAUGUCUAUGCAGUAUCAGCUCUAUACAAUAUGUGCCUUGUCAUGGUUUGUGUCCUCCUACUUGUCACGUGACCUUCCGCACGUUCAUGUUCACGUGUGUGUGUGUGUGUGUGUGUGUGUGUGUGUGUGUGUGUGUGUGUGUGUGUGUGUGUGGCGUGGUGUCUAGCGUGCAGGGAGGCCCAGUUCAGGCUGUACCGUCUAAUUGGUCUGAGCUGGCACUGGGAGGCCCAGUUCAACAGGGGGAGAUUGGCCACAUAAUCCCAGAGGAGGAGGAUUUGUGUCCACUCACAUUAAUCCCUCCCUCACUGCCGCCGCACUGUCAUCCAGUAUAGACUAGGUACAGUGGGGAGGAUAAGAUAACAGCGAUGGAGAGAGAGAGAGAGAGAGAGAGAGAGAGAGAGAGAGAGAGAGAGAGAGAGGGAGAAAGUGAGAAAGAGAGAGAAAGAGAGAGGGGAGGGCACUAUUUCCUUCCAGCAUAGACUGGGUGCAGUGUUGAGGUCAACAGAAACAGAAUCAGAGAGAGAGAGAGAGAGAGAGAGAGAGAUAACAAGAAAGAGAGAGAGAGAGAGAGAGAGAGAGAGAGAUAACAAGAAAGAGACAGGGAAGGGGGGGAGUAAUAUUCAAUGGAUGGGUCACUGGAUUAUGUAUGUGUAAAUCACAGUAGCCUGAAGUCAUAAGGAUGGGUUAGGCUACAGAGAUGUUGAAGUCAUAAGGAUGGGUUAGGCUACAGGGAUGUUGAAGUCAUAAGGAUGGGUUAGGCUACAGAGAUGUUGAAGUCAUAAGGAUGGGUUAGGCUACAGGGAUGUUGAAGUCAUAAGGAUGGGUUAGGCUACAGGGAUGUUGAAGUCAUAAGGAUGGGUUAGGCUACAGGGAUGUUGAAGUCAUAAGGAUGGGUUAGGCUACAGGGAUGUUGAAGUCAUAAGGAUGGGUUAGGCUACAGGGAUGUUGAAGUCAUAAGGAUAGGUUAGGCUACUGGGAUGUUGGUCAUAAGGAUAGGUUAGGCUACUGUCCUCCUGGUUCAGGUGAGACUUGCUUUAUUCACAUGGACACUGGAUAACUCAGUUUAGCAUGUAAUAUGGCUCAAGGGGUUGCAACUGUGUUGCCAAAAAAAGGCAACCAUAUUCUCAGAUAAUCAUAAAAUAUGCGAACCUCCUCAUCGCUACACGUACUGAUCUUGAACAUAAGAUCAAAUCUUACAGAGAGACAGUGUGUGUCUGGUGCACAGGAGCCAUGGCUGAGGCAGACCAGCUCCUGGGGCAGCGCUCCUCUUAGUGGUGAUGAGCAGUUUUGAUGAGGACACUUCAAACACAGGUGAUCACAGCACAGGGAAGCGGCUGCUGCUUCAGGUGGUAGCACGUAUCACAGCACAGGUGCUUCAGGUGGUAGCACGUAUCACAGGGCAGUGUCUGCUGCUUCAGGUGGUAGCACGUAUAACAGCAGAGGGCAGUGCUUAACUUGCACUUCAGCAGUUACAUUCCUGGACUUCUUUUUCUUCGUAUGUCGUUUUUUAUUUCUUAUGUAAAGUAGUAUUUAUUGUUACACCAGGUUUUUAUUGCUCUUAGCUUGACUGUUCUCUCCCUUGUACGUCGCUUUGGACAAAAGCGUCUGCUAAAUGACUAAAUGUAAAUGUAAAUGUAAAAUGUAAGCAUGUAUUUUCCUAGCUGGAGAUCUUACCUAGACUGUGUUUGACUCUGAAAACGUUAUUGAGCGCUCAAGCUCUAAGCCCGCCUGACUGUUAAGUCUUUAGUUAAUGAAAUUCAGUCACGCCAUUUUACACUCAAGUGUCUAGCAUGCUGUAGUUAUAGUAAUGAGAGCCAUGGCAUGCUGAUAAAAACGUUUAUUGUUUUGUUCAUUGUUUACUCCCAGUGAGUGCAUUGGACAAUUAUCCCACGACUGUUCCAAAUAAAGAAACAAAAGACCAUGAGAACAAUUGAAUAAAGUCGUUUAGAGAAACACGGCAUGCUUUCGUUCCGACUUAAACAGAAGGUAAAUGCCGUUCGCCAGACUGAAGCUGUGCCUUUGUACUCGCUCUCUGUGAAUUCCAAGAACCAAACAGCACAUUUUCUUUUCUCUAGCACCAGUAAGGAGGCCAGGUCGCCAUGGUUUUGGGACAAGCCUGAAACAUUUAGACCGCUGAUAUCUGUUAUUUUUUCCAGUUAGCUGCUGAAAAAUGUGUAUGCUUUCUGAAGGCAGCCUUUGAAAUGAGCGCUGUAGUGAAAGUAGUGAAACCAAAGGACACACACACACACACACACACACACACACACACACACACACACACACACACACACACUGCACUCUGACAUGGCUGUGUAGACUAAGACAGCCAGCAGCCAUUGUGCAGUGAGGAUUGCUAUCUGUUGAGACACGCAGAUACCUCUAAGCACAGGUCAUGUCGUGAGUACUGUGUGUGCACUUUAAUUUAAUUAAAUCAGUUUCUUUUUAAAGCGCCAUGGUGGUAAAAAUAGACACCGUAACAAGGCGCCUGGCAGAAGACAACGGCUCGCUGAGCCACUACCAGGGUCACAGAAAGAUAGCCGUCACAAACAAGGACAGAAGGAGGUGAGAUCUGAUCCUAGUCCAGUGCAUCUGUGCCAUGUCAGGGUCAGACUAUAGGGUCUGGGCAGAGAAGGAGGUGAGAUCUGAUCCGAGUCCAGUGCAUCUGUGCCAUGUUAGACUCAGACUAUAGGGUCUGGGCAGGUUCACCACAUUGCGUUCGGGAUCCGCACAGGAUUGGCUUCAAAUGUGCGUCUACCUUCACUUGAUUCACAAUAAAAAGCAAACAUUAGUCCACCCAGGUUUUUGAGCCAGUGAGGACCAUGGGCCAUUGAUUCCAGCUUAGCGAUGGAGCUAUAGGUGUCUGAUUCCAG